rnacentral:rRNA from 1 species
AACGUAGGUUCCGAGCGUUAUCCGGAUUUACUGGGCGUAAAGCGCGUUCAGGCGGUUUGGCAAGUCGGGCAUGAAAUCUCUCGGCUCAACCGGGAGAGGUUGUCCGAUACUGCUGGACUUGAGGGCAGUAGAGGGUGGUGGAAUUCCGGGUGUAGUGGUGAAAUGCGUAGAUAUCCGGAGGAACACCAGUGGCGAAAGCGGCCACCUGGACUGUACCUGACGCUGACACGCGAAAGCGUGGGGAGCAAACAGG